UACGUAGGUGACAAGCGUUGUCCGGAUUUACUGGGCGUAAAGCGUGCGCAGGCGGUUUUGUAAGCCAGAUGUGAAAGCCCCGGGCUCAACCUGGGAAUGGCAUUUGGGACUGCAAGGCUUGAGUGCGGCAGAGGAGACUGGAAUUCCUGGUGUAGCAGUGAAAUGCGUAGAUAUCAGGAGGAAUACCGAUGGCGAAGGCAGGUCUCUGGGCUGACACUGACGCUCAUGCACGAAAGCGUGGGGAGCAAACAGA
rnacentral:rRNA from 1 species